rnacentral:misc_RNA from 1 species
GAAAUGCGAUAAGUAAUGUGAAUUGCAGAAUUCAGUGAAUCAUCGAGUCUUUGAACGCACCUUGCGCUCUUUGGCCAUUCCAAAGAGCAUGCCUGUUUGAGUGUCAUUGAAUCCUCAAGGCCCCCCCAACCUUGCCGUUGCGGGGGGAGCUUGGACUUUGGGAGUGCUGCGGUUGGCCCCCUGCUCGGGCUUUCCGCUCUCCUCAAACGCAUCAGUAGGCCCCUUCCCCCCUUGGGUGUCCUCGUGGCGUUGAUAGUCGUCUACGCCUCGAAACCCCUCCCCUCCGGGAUUCUUGACCUGCUUCCCCAACACAUCAUUGUGUGUGUGAUACCUUUGAACACUUUGACCUCAAAUCAGGUAGGACUACCCGCUGAACUUAA